UAGAAACGGCAGGUUGAUUGGGAGUGCAGACGGUCACUACCCCAGAGAAAGGCUUCUUGCAUGUUGGUUCCCCAGCAGAGGCAUCGCUUUUUCACUCUCUUUCAUCUUUUGAUCUCUUGAUCUUAUCUACAUGGAUUCAAUACAAUGUGAAGAAUGAAAAUAAAUCUACAAACAAGAA